UGGCUCAGGAUGAACGCUGGCGGCGUGCUUAACACAUGCAAGUCGAACGAUGAUGCCAGCUUGCUGGUGGAUUAGUGGCGAACGGGUGAGUAACACGUGAGUAACCUGCCCUUGACUCUGGGAUAAGCCUGGGAAACUGGGUCUAAUACCGGAUAUGACCUUCCAUCGCAUGGUGGUUGGUGGAAAGCUUUUGUGGUUUUGGAUGGACUCGCGGCCUAUCAGCUUGUUGGUGGGGUAAUGGCCUACCAAGGCGACGACGGGUAGCCGGCCUGAGAGGGUGACCGGCCACACUGGGACUGAGACACGGCCCAGACUCCUACGGGAGGCAGCAGUGGGGAAUAUUGCACAAUGGGCGCAAGCCUGAUGCAGCGACGCCGCGUGAGGGAUGACGGCCUUCGGGUUGUAAACCUCUUUCAGUAGGGAAGAAGCCGCAAGGUGACGGUACCUGCAGAAGAAGCGCCGGCUAACUACGUGCCAGCAGCCGCGGUAAUACGUAGGGCGCAAGCGUUAUCCGGAAUUAUUGGGCGUAAAGAGCUCGUAGGCGGUUUGUCGCGUCUGCCGUGAAAGUCCGGGGCUCAACUCCGGAUCUGCGGUGGGUACGGGCAGACUAGAGUGAUGUAGGGGAGACUGGAAUUCCUGGUGUAGCGGUGAAAUGCGCAGAUAUCAGGAGGAACACCGAUGGCGAAGGCAGGUCUCUGGGCAUUAACUGACGCUGAGGAGCGAAAGCAUGGGGAGCGAACAGGAUUAGAUACCCUGGUAGUCCAUGCCGUAAACGUUGGGCACUAGGUGUGGGGGACAUUCCACGUUUUCCGCGCCGUAGCUAACGCAUUAAGUGCCCCGCCUGGGGAGUACGGCCGCAAGGCUAAAACUCAAAGGAAUUGACGGGGGCCCGCACAAGCGGCGGAGCAUGCGGAUUAAUUCGAUGCAACGCGAAGAACCUUACCAAGGCUUGACAUGAACCAGACCGGGCUGGAAACAGUCCUUCCCCUUUGGGGUUGGUUUACAGGUGGUGCAUGGUUGUCGUCAGCU
rnacentral:rRNA from 1 species